UUCCUACGGGGGGCAGCAGUGGGGAAUAUUGCACAAUGGGGGAAACCCUGAUGCAGCGACGCCGCGUGAGUGAAGAAGUAUUUCGGUAUGUAAAGCUCUAUCAGCAGGGAAGAUAAUGACGGUACCUGACUAAGAAGCCCCGGCUAACUACGUGCCAGCAGCCGCGGUAAUACGUAGGUGGCAAGCGUUAUCCGGAAUGAUUGGGCGUAAAGGGUGCGCAGGCGGAUGUAUAAGUCUGAAGUAAAAGCCAUCGGCUCAACCGAUGUAAGCUUUGGAAACUGUAGAUCUAGAGUGCAGGAGAGGAG
rnacentral:rRNA from 1 species